rnacentral:rRNA from 1 species
AGAAAGAGCAUUCGGUGGAUGCCUAGCCACUCAGAGCCGAGGAAAGACGCGAUAAGCUGCGAAAAGCUUCGGGGAGGAGCAAAUAUCCUACGAUCCGAAGAUGUCUGAAUGGGGAAACCCACCUAAGAAAAGCUUAGGUAUUUUCAGGUAAAUUCAUAGCCUGAAAAAGGGAACCUGGGGAACUGAAACAUCUCAGUACCCAGAGGAAAAGAAAGAAACAUCGAUUUCCUAAGUAGCGGCGAGCGAACGGGAAAGAGCCUAAACCAAAUGGCGUGCCAUUUGGGGUUAAGGACUACAAUAAGCGAGCCAACUUCUACCAGAAAGGUUCUGGGAAGACCUGCCAAAGAGGGUGAAAGCCCCGUAAGGGAAAGAAGAAAGCAGCAAGUAGGAUCCAAAGUAGCGCAAGGCACGAGAAACCUAGCGUGAAGUCGGGGGGACCACCCCCCAAGGCUAAAUACUCCUGAGUGAGCGAUAGAGCACAAGUACUGUGAAGGAAAGGUGAAAAGAACCCCGGGAGGGGAGUGAAAAAGAACCUGAAACCGAAUGUUUACAAGCUAUGGAACUGCUGAUAAGGCAGAACCAUGUACUUUUUGUAGAACGGUCCGGCGAGUUGCCGUUUUGGGCAAGGUUAAGUACUUCAGGUACGAAGCCGAAGAGAAAUCAAGUCUGAAUAGGGCGAAUGAGUCCAAGGCGGCAGACCCGAAACCGGGUGAUCUAUCCAUGUCCAGGUUGAAGCCUUCGUAAAAGAAGGUGGAGGACCGAACACACAUCCGUUGAAAAGGGUGGUGAUGAGGUGUGGAUAGGGGAGAAAUUCCAAUCGAACCCGGAGAUAGCUGGUUCUCCUCGAAAUAGCUUUAGGGCUAGCCUCAUGAUAGUCUGUUGGAGGUAGAGCACUGAAUUUCCUAGGGGGCGUCAAAGCUUACCGAAGAAUAUCAAACUCCGAAUGCCAAACAGAUGGUUCAUGGGAGUCAGACUAUACGAGAUAAGUUGGAUAGUCAAAAGGGAAACAGCCCAGACCACCAGCUAAGGUCCCAAAGUAAUGGUUAAGUGGAAAAGGAUGUGGGAGUUCAUCGACAACUAGGAUGUUGGCUUAGAAGCAGCCAUACAUUGAAAGAGUGCGUAAUAGCUCACUAGUCAAGAGCUCCUGCGCCGAAAAUGUCCGGGGCUAAAACCAAACACCGAAGCUGUGGAAUCGAAAGAUUGGUAGAGGAGCAUUGCAAAGAUCGAAGAAGCCAUAAAGGAAUUUGUGGUGGAGAGCUUGCAAGAGAGAAUGCCGGAAUGAGUAGCGAGAGGAAAGUGAGAAUCUUUCCGACCAAAUAUCCAAGGUUUCCUGAGUAAAGCUGAUCUGCUCAGGGUAAGUCGGGACCUAAGGCGAGUCCGAAAGGGGUAGUCGAUGGAUAACAGGUGAAGAUUCCUGUACUGCACUUAAGCAGAAGAGUGGGGAAGCAGAGAGGAAGGAAAAGCCGGGAAUAAAAAGACCGGUUUAAGCACAGGAUGUGUCAAGGAGUAAAAGACUUGACAAACAGAGGGUGUGAUAAGGAGCGAAAUAUAAGUAGCGAAGUUUCCGGGUAAGCUGCCAAGAAAAGCCACUAUUGUCUUAAGUGCACCCGUACCGUAAACCGACACAGGUGGAUGAGGAGAGAAUCCUAAGGUCGACGGGAGAAGCAUGGUUAAGGAACUCGGCAAAAUGACCCCGUAACUUCGGGAGAAGGGGUACCAAGUGAAAGCUUGGUCGCAGAGAAUAGGCUCAAGCAACUGUUUAGCAAAAACACAGGUCUAUGCAAAACCGAAAGGUGAGGUAUAUGGGCUGACGCCUGCCCGGUGCCGGAAGGUUAAGAGGAGUGGUUAGCGUAAGCGAAGCGACGAAUUGAAGCCCCGGUAAACGGCGGCCGUAACUAUAACGGUCCUAAGGUAGCGAAAUUCCUUGUCGGGUAAGUUCCGACCCGCACGAAAGGCGUAAUGAUUUGAGCGCUGUCUCGACCAUGCACCCGGUGAAAUUGAAGUACCAGUGAAGAUGCUGGUUACCUGCGCCAGGACGGAAAGACCCCAUGGAGCUUUACUCUAGCUUGAUUCUGGGAUUUUUUGAAUCAUGUACAGGAUAGGUGGGAGGCAAUGAAGGAAGGACGCAAGUUUUUCUGGAGCCGCUGUUGGGAUACCACCCUUGAUUGAAAGGAUUUCUAACUCAGACCUGUGAUCCAGGUCAAGGACAAAGUCAGGUGGGGAGUUUGACUGGGGCGGUCGCCUCCGAAAGGGUAUCGGAGGCGCUUAAAGGUUCCCUCAAGUUGGUCGGAAACCAACUAAAGAGUGUAAAGGCAUAAGGGAGCUUGACUGUGACACCGACGGGUGGAGCAGAUACGAAAGUAGGACUUAGUGAUCCGGUGGUAGAAAGUGGGAUUGCCAUCGCGCAACGGAUAAAAGCUACCCUGGGGAUAACAGGCUGAUCACUCCCAAGAGUUCACAUCGACGGAGUGGUUUGGCACCUCGAUGUCGGCUCAUCGCAUCCUGGGGCUGAAGUAAGUCCCAAGGGUUGGGCUGUUCGCCCAUUAAAGCGGUACGCGAGCUGGGUUCAGAACGUCGUGAGACAGUUCGGUCCCUAUCCGGCGUGGGCGUAGGAUAUUUGACAGGAGCUGUCCUUAGUACGAGAGGACCGGGAUGGAUGAACCUCUGGUGUACCGGUUGCUAUAUUCAUGGCAUAGCCGGGUAGCCAUGUUUGGUUGGGAUAAACGCUGAAGGCAUCUAAGCGUGAAGCCCUCCUGAAGAUGAGAUAUCCCUCGUUUGAGUAAGACCCCUAGUAGACGACUAGGUUGAUAGGAGGUAGGUGUACGCUGGGUAACCAGUUUAGCUGAUCCUUACUAAUUGGUCGAGUGAUUUUGUU